CCUACGGGAGGCAGCAGUAGGGAAUCUUCGGCAAUGGACGAAAGUCUGACCGAGCAACGCCGCGUGAGUGAAGAAGGUUUUCGGAUCGUAAAACUCUGUUGGUAGAGAAGAACGUUGGUGAGAGUGGAAAGCUCAUCAAGUGACGGUAACUACCCAGAAAGGGACGGCUAAUUACGUGCCAGCAGCCGCGGUAAUACGUAGGUCCCGAGCGUUGUCCGGAUUUAUUGGGUUUAAAGGGUGCGUAGGCGGGUUGCUAAGUCAGUGGUAAAAGCGUGUGGCUCAACCAUACCAAGCCAUUGAAACUGGCGAUCUUGAGUGCAAACGAGGUAGGCGGAAUGUGACGUGUAGCGGUGAAAUGCUUAGAUAUGCCACAGAACCCCGAUUGCGAAGGCAGCUUACCAGCAUGCAACUGACGCUGAGGCACGAAAGCGUGGGUAUCAAACAGGAUUAGAUACCCUGGUAGUCCACGCAGUAAACGAUGAAUACUAGCUGUUGGCGAUAUAAUGUCAGCGGUACAGCGAAAGUGUUAAGUAUUCCACCUGGGGAGUACGCCGGCAACGGUGAAACUCAAAGGAAUUGACGG
rnacentral:rRNA from 1 species